rnacentral:rRNA from 1 species
UACGUAGGCAGCGAGCGUUGUUCGGAGUUACUGGGCGUAAAGGGUGUGUAGGCGGUUGUUUAAGUUUGGUGUGAAACCUCCCGGCUCAACUGGGAGGGUGCGCCGAAUACUGAAUGACUUCGAGUGCGGGAGAGGUGAGUGGAAUUCCUGGUGUAGCGGUGAAAUGCGUAGAUAUCAGGAGGAACACCGGUGGUGUAGACGGCUCACUGGACCGUAACUGACGCUGAGACACGAAAGCGUGGGUAGCAAACAGG